AUUGAACGCUGGCGGCAGGCUUAACACAUGCAAGUCGAGCGGGGUGAUGGUGCUUGCACUAUCACUUAGCGGCGGACGGGUGAGUAAUGCUUAGGAAUCUGCCUAUUAGUGGGGGACAACAUCUCGAAAGGGACGCUAAUACCGCAUACGUCCUACGGGAGAAAGCAGGGGAUCACUUGUGACCUUGCGCUAAUAGAUGAGACUAAGUCGGAUUAGCUAGUUGGUGGGGUAAAGGCCUACCAAGGCGACGAUCUGUAGGGGGUCUGAGAGGAUGAUCCGCCACACUGGGACUGAGACACGGCCCAGACUCCUACGGGAGGCAGCAGUGGGGAAUAUUGGACAAUGGGGGGAACCCUGAUCCAGCCAUGCCGCGUGUGUGAAGAAGGCCUUAUGGUUGUAAAGCACUUUAAGCGAGGAGGAGGCUCUUUUGGUUAAUACCCAAGAUGAGUGGACGUUACUCGCAGAAUAAGCACCGGCUAACUCUGUGCCAGCAGCCGCAGUAA
rnacentral:rRNA from 1 species